rnacentral:rRNA from 1 species
GACGAACGCUGGCGGCGUGCUUAACACAUGCAAGUCGAACGGUGAAGCGCCUUCCUUUUUGGUUAGUGUGGAUGAGUGGCGAACGGGUGAGUAACACGUUAGUAACCUGCCCCCUUCUUCUUGAUAACCGCAUGAAAGUGUUGCUAAUACGGGAUAUUCUGUGUCUGUCGCAUGAUGGGUCUGGGAAAGAUAUUGUUUCGGUUGGGGAUGGGCUCGCGGCCUAUCAGUUUGUUGGUGGGGUGAUGGCCUACCAAGGCGGUGACGGGUAGCCGGCCUGAGAGGGUGGACGGUAAGACAGGGAAUGAGAAACGGCAAAGACUCCGAAGGGAGGCAGCAGUGGGGAAUAGUGCACAAUGGGGGGAAGACUGAUGCAGCGACGCCGCGUGAGGGAUGGAGGCCUUAGGGUUGUGAACCUCUUUCGCCAGUGAAGCAGGCCUGCCUAGUUUGUGGGUGGGUUGACAGUAGCUGGAUAAGAAGCGCCGGCUAACUACGUG